UUACCCUGAAAUGUGCACGCUUGCGCUGUCGGUGUUCUGUUUCAUGAUAUUCGUUUGUGGGCUGUCAUUAUCAAAAUUACGAGGAAUUACUUUGUCAAAAAUGUAAGACAAGGUAUUAGCAACGUUAG
rnacentral:lncRNA from 1 species